UUUGUCUCAAAGGAUUAAGCCCUCACUAGAUUGGGUCCUUUGACUUUCAGUCUCCAAUUUAGGCAGGUCCUCUUUAUACGAGUAAUCACAGAGCUUCAGAUUGUGUAGGCAUCUACCCCCUUUUGCUCCGGGCAAAGGAACAUGUACAUUUUUUUUGUGAUUUAUUUAAAUGUAUUUUAUGUGCAUUGGUGUGAAGGUGUUAGAUACCCUGGAACUGGAAUUACCGUUAUGAGCUGACAUGUGGGUACUAGGAAUUGGAUCUGGAAUUGGAAGAGCAGCCAGUGCUCUUAACUGAUAAGCCAUCUCUCCAGCCUGGAACAUGAACUUUUAAAAAAGGAAUUAAGGGAACACGUAUUUACUGAAGUCCAGGUACCAGGUUUUCAUGGCCUAGGAUUAAGAGCAUGCUAUUAGGAGCCUCAAUGGAACCAUGAGAUAAAAUACAGGUUCUGCCCUAUGCCUGUGAAGAAGGAAUGCUGUACCGAAAAGCCGAGAGGGAUGAAAAGAAAC
rnacentral:lncRNA from 1 species